AAAAAAAUGUUUCACUUAAUACAUAUGACAUAGUGUGUAACAUUGACAACAACAAAAAUAUAUAUGUAUUAACUAAAAAAGGAAAAACCGUUAACAUCGGAUGCAGAGAAGUUGGAAUACCUUUCAUAAAUAAAAAAGUAGAAGUUCCACUUCAACUUAACUCUGCACUUUUGAACAUUCAAUCAAAAAAAUUAUGGCCGAGUGCAAGAUAAAAAAAUUAAUGAGCGGAUGGAGUAGUGAAAGGUAAUGAAGGAAUGAAAAAUCGCAUUGACUGACGAAGAACGCGAAAAAAUUAAGGAUGAUGAUUCAAACAGUAAUUUACUCGACGGUGUUUCAAGCUAAUCAUUGUAACAAUAUAAAAUGAAACGUUCACAGCGAUUAUGCACUAUAAUUCAAUAAAUGGUUAAAAAUAAA